GAUGAACGCUGGCGGCGUGCCUAAUACAUGCAAGUCGAGCGAACGGACGAGAAGCUUGCUUCUCUGAUGUUAGCGGCGGACGGGUGAGUAACACGUGGAUAACCUACCUAUAAGACUGGGAUAACUUCGGGAAACCGGAGCUAAUACCGGAUAAUAUUUUGAACCGCAUGGUUCAAAAGUGAAAGACGGUCUUGCUGUCACUUAUAGAUGGAUCCGCGCUGCAUUAGCUAGUUGGUAAGGUAACGGCUUACCAAGGCAACGAUGCAUAGCCGACCUGAGAGGGGGAUCGGCCACACUGGAACUGAGACCGGGCCCAGACUCCCACGGGAGGACGGAGUAGGGAAUCUUCCGAAAUGGGCGAAAGCCUAACGGAGCAACGCCGCGUGAGUGAUGAAGUUCUUCGGAUCGUAAAACUCUUUUAUUAGGAAAAAACAUAUGUGAAAGUAACUGGCCACAUCUUGACGGUACUAAAACAGAAAGCCCCGGCUAACUACGU
rnacentral:rRNA from 1 species